rfam:Vitrella brassicaformis CCMP3155 genome assembly, contig: scaffold275
UCCCAUAUAGUCUAGUGGUCAGGAUAUGCGGCUUUCACCCGCAAGACCCGAGUUCAAUCCUCGGUAUGGGAG